GGGGUCUCUGUCCAACACGUCGCCGAUGGCACAACUCUCUCACUUCUGUCUUGCUCUUCUGCCUCCUUCAGCUUCGUCUGCUCCUUUUUGUCUGCAAUUUCACCCACGAAUUUCUUUUCCGACUCCGUCUUUUCAAAUUCGAGCAUGUUCUUCUUCGUCUUCAACUUCUAUUUCAGCUGCAAAGCCGAAAGUCGUCGUCACAAGAGAACGAGGCAAAAAUGGCAAGCUCAUUAAAGCUCUGGUGCCGUUCUCUCUCCCUCUUUGUCUUCUUUCGCUUCUUCUUAUUUUUCUUUUUCUUAUUUGCAUUUGUGGAGCAUUUGAUUUUUGCAUUUUAUUGAGAUUUUGAGUUUAUCAAUUUUUUUUUAUAUAAAUUGCAUUGUGUUGUUUUGUUUUAUAUUGGAUUGGAACUCUAUAACGUGUUGAAUUUUUCGGAAUUGUUUUUGAUAAUAAAAAUUUUCUCAUGUCAAGUGUUUGAUUAAAUGUGGAAGAGACACGCUUCAUUUUCAGCAUUUUACUUUUGAUUCAACUAAUGUACUUGAGUCUUGCCAUAUGGCGAUAAUGGAAUCUUACAUGACCAUUUCAAUUAUUGAACUCUUGUAAACAGUAUUUGAGCUGGUCAAAAGUAGAGGUGAUGUUUGAAUCUUAUGUAAAACUUGUUUGAUGCGCAAGGCAGAAAUAGAUAAGUCGAGCUUGUGGGGAUUUUAUGGUGUUCAAAGCGGAGAUUAUGUUUGGAUAAUUGGAAAAAAGAAUUUUAGAUGUGGUUUACCUGUUUAAUUAAUAAGUUUACUAAUUAAGUAAACUUCGAGUAUUCUUGAAACUGUUUCGCGAGUACCUACCAAAAAUGCAUCUUCUGCAAAAGUAUAUCAAAUGCAUGCUGCAAUGAUCCACUAAUAUUACAGAGUCUUAAUUGAAUCAACAACAAUAAAAACCAAGCCCCAGGGGUUGACUAUAUAGAUUCUUUUUCCCUAUUGAAAUCAAUUACUUUCUUUCACGUUAUUUUAGAUCUCCCCAUUUCCCUCCUCAUUCAUUUCACCACUAAUUUAUCACUACUUAUUACACAUCGGUACUGGAACAAUAUAUCCACAGUUAAUAUUUUUUUAAACAAUGAAAGGUCAAGAGUGUCUCAACUAUUCAAUGUACAGUUCUUUGCAGCAAUCAAAUGAGCAGUCAUGAUAGUAGCUAAGAAAUCUGUAAGUUGUUCAAUUUCUAUUAUUUUUACGUGCUUUUGGGUGACUUGCUAUUUGAAAGUCUAGUAUUUACUGUUUGUGCAUCAUGCUCUGUAGGUGUGGAAAAAUUGUAUUGCUGAUCUUCUAUAUAGGGGAAGGGGUUGGGGGAGUGCUGUUACUGAUACUAGUGCUUUAGACCAUAUGAGUACGGGUAUAAUGGGCAUAUGUUGGUCAUUUGAUGCGAAAUAAUAUGAGAAUGAUUCCAUUGUUGCAUAUGUUUGACAGAGUAUAUAGUUAAAGAUUUUCCUUUUUUUUCAGGCCAAACAUGGUAUCAAUUGCUUGGAGCUUCCUCUAAUUCAGCAUACUGAAGGACCUGAUUUGGAUAGACUCCCUUCUGUAUUAAGUAAUACUUCAUUUGACUGGGUUGUCAUAACUUCCCCUGAAGCGGGCUCGGUGUUUCUGGAGGCAUGGAAGUAUGUGUUUGAAGUUUUUGACAAGAUAGUGUCCAUUUUGGAUAUGAGUAGUUCCUUGAAUUUUGUCUACAAAAUCUAACGGGGUUUCUUUUGUUACUACUAAAAUCUUUGAUGCUCAAAUGUAACUUUGAAUGUAUGUCUCUUUUCCUCUGCAUUUCAAUAGCUCGUCUGAUAAAUAUGCAAAUGCACUGGUCUGUUGUCACCCUGGGAUGUUUGUUUUAAUCUGUGGACUGCAGAGAAUUUCUGUUGUAGUUAAUUUUGUGUUAACAUAUUAAUAGCAGAAAGCCAUGCAUCACUAUUUUCCCUUUCUAUCAAAUCCUCAUCCCCUUUCUUUCCUCUGUUUUCUUUUCCUUGGUAUUGUACCUUUCCCCCUCUCUGAAAAAGUAAAGCAGAAAAGCAUUCCAAUGAAUUGCAUCGUUUCAGGAUUUUAUAUUUUCAGUGAUCCCAAGCAUCAAAUGUAUUCUUUGGAUACUGGACGUAGAGUUUGCAAAACCUGUGCUUGUUAUGAAUCAGAUAUGUAGGAUGCUACAUGUUAGUAGCGAGGUCUUAAAUUAGGGUAUCUAAAGGACAUAUAGACUAGAACUAUUGUUCAUUCUUGUUUAUCUAAACAGCAUACCUCUCUUUAUUUUUCUGUCAGAGAAGUUAAUAUAAAUCAAUAAACUCGUCCUUAACUUGGUCCUUAGGGCAGCUGGUACCCCAAAUGUUAAGAUAGGGGUUGUAGGAGCAGGUACAGCGAGCAUUUUUAAUGAAGUGAUACAAUCAUCAGGGCGAUCUCUUGAUAUUGCCUUUGCACCAUCUAAAGGUAUUCACAGAUGUAUAAAUAUGCAGGCAAUAAUAUAAAUAUAUGCCUGCAUUGAGCUUUUCCUUAUUAUGCUUCACCAUAUCACCAAACGGUUAUGAUUUUCCUAGCAAAGUGUCUCGUGUUCCCUUUUUCAUGAAUUCUUCCACUCUUCAGCAACAGGCAAGGUUUUGGCAUCAGAACUUCCAAAGAGCGAGAAUGGAAGAUGUACUGUGUUGUAUCCAGCUUCUGCCAAAGCAAGUAAUGAGAUUGAGGAAGGCCUGUCUAAUCGUGGAUUUGAGGUUAUGAGACUAAAUACAUACACAACGGUACCUGUUGAUCAUGUUGACCAAAUGGUGCUGAAGCAGGCACUUUUUUGCCCCGUCGUUGCAGUUGCUUCUCCAUCUUCAGUUCGGUAAGUCGUUAGUUGCAUUUUUAAUGAAAAUUGAUAGCAAACUAGAGCUUCCUAAGGUAGCUGUGGGGGCCCUACAAUUAAGGGAAGGGGGAGGGGUGUAUCAGUUCCCUGAUUUCCCUAUUGAUAAAUUAAGGACAUAAAGACAAUUCAACUAGUUGCUCUGGCUGCCAUAAAACCUUUUGGUCACCAUGGUUGUUAAACUCGAACUAGACCAGCUGGUUGAGCCAGUUUAACCGAGAACCUGAGCUUGGUCCAGUUCGGUUAACCCUCAAACCAAAUUUUUAAAAACUCCAAUUGAACUGAUGUGAAUUGGCUAGGUAACUGGUAAUCCAGAUUUUUAAAAACUCCGGUUGAACCGCUGUGAACUGGCGUGAACUGAAAAAUCAGCCGGAUUUGAAACUGGCCAAUAAGAUACUCAACAAAAAAUUUUGAAGGAGUGCGCUGCCGUGAAUUAAACCGAAGACCCAAGGAAGUUGUUUUCAUGCCAAUAACCAAAUAUCGUACAAAACUUUAUAACUAAUUUACAAUAAAUUAUAUAUUAACUAAACCCAGUAUGGAGAAACUACCUUAUUUAUAAGAUUAUAAAUAUUGCAAAGUUAUGAGGUUAUAUAUGUUAAUUCACAUGAAUUGAUUU
rnacentral:misc_RNA from 1 species